UGGGGAAUUUUGGACAAUGGGGGCAACCCUGAUCCAGCCAUGCCGCGUGAGUGAAGAAGGCCUUCGGGUUGUAAAGCUCUUUCAGCCGGAAAGAAAUCGUACAGACUAAUACUCUGUAUGGAUGACGGUACCGGAAGAAGAAGCACCGGCUAACUACGUGCCAGCAGCCGCGGUAAUACGUAGGGUGCGAGCGUUAAUCGGAAUUACUGGGCGUAAAGCGUGCGCAGGCGGUUUUGUAAGUCAGAUGUGAAAUCCCCGGGCUUAACCUGGGAACUGCGUUUGAAACUACAAGGCUAGAGUGUAGCAGAGGGGGGUGGAAUUCCACGUGUAGCAGUGAAAUGCGUAGAGAUGUGGAGGAACACCGAUGGCGAAGGCAGCCCCCUGGGUUAACACUGACGCUCAGGCACGAAAGCGUGGGGAGCAAACAGG
rnacentral:rRNA from 1 species